rnacentral:lncRNA from 1 species
UUAGGAGAGAACAAAAGAAAUGUUUAAAAUGGUAUGUUUCUCAUACGUCAGAAGCUACAUCAAUCACCUAUUCCCCCCUCCCUUUCCUGUCAGCUAUGGGAAGUUCACACAGGAAAAUCACCAACUUCCACUCAGCCACAAUCCUUCUGUGAGACCUCAUGGAAGAUACUUUGCUUUUUCUCCCGGGUGGCAGUUUCUCCACUAGCUAUGUUAUGUUUUUAGGCCAUGUUUUUGAACUUCCUCUUUGGUGGGUAGCCUGAGAUGAUCAUUGAAGGCAUACACACUUAUUUCCAACACCAGAAGAGAUUACGUCUUGAGUCUAAAAAGUACCCCUGACAUAGGAGGUGCCUCCAUACCUGUAAGCAUUCCCAGAAGCCAACAGGAUUGCGUGGAUCAGAACAUUGAGUAAGGCAACAUGGCUUAAACCCUUUGCUGUUCAUAGUUGGAAAGCAGCUUCCAAGGAAGCAGAUCUCAAUUUCUUCUACAGCUGAAGACACCUGAAGGCUGAAGCAGGACUAAAGAGCCCAGAGACAGCAUGGUGUGUUAGGAGAGAACUGGCCUUGCACUUGGAGGACCCAGCUUCUGGUCCUGCUAUGCGACCCACUUGCUUGGUGACCAACUUAUGUCUCCUCUCAGGACGCUUGUUUUUCCAUGUUUCAAAAGGGGAAAUUGGACUAGAUGGUCUCUAAGGUCUCUUCCAGUGUUGAUAUUUGAUUGUUCUCCCCAGGGGUUUCACAUAGAUCAUAACCAUUCUAGAGUCACACCCUCUGUCCCCAAUCCUGGAUCAGUAUUU